UACAAUGUUUGGAGGGGUUGGUAAGAUGAACGAGGAGUAUUGUGAUCGGUCAGGGUAACUAGUUUGUGGGGUGUUUUGAGUUGGAUUGAAGUCAUCAAAUGAAUAGUUUGAUGUUUGAGAGCUUUCUCAAUGAUGACUAAGUUGAGAGUAGCUUGGAAAUAUAAUUGGGUAGUUUUGUAAGAAUUGGUUCGUGGGUUGUAGUGAUGAUUGGUAGGUUUGGUUGUAAUUGUAGUUUGUGGAUGAGUUAAAGCUUUGGUCAAAGUAAGUGGGUGGAGGUGUAAUGAAUUGGUUGUUGGGUGGAGGUGUAUUUGACCACAUGUUUGCAUUUGACAUCAUAUAGGUUUAUGGUUUUGCAGGAUAGUCUGACGGAAAUUCUCGUAAAAUUCUUCUACACUCUACCAUUGAGUUUGCUAAUAGUGCUUCUCUAGAAAUCCAAAAAUGAUCUCCAAAAAAGUUCCAAUACCAUUCAAAAUAUCGACGAUUCUGAUAAACCUCAUGGUUAUAUCAGACUCCAUCUAGUGCUAACUGAUGACGUUGGUUUCACUUUUGGAUAUUAUACUUAAAUUCAUCUCCACACGAG
rnacentral:lncRNA from 1 species